GGACUUUUUGCAGACCUUAACUCCUCUCCCAUGAAGAAAGUCAGCAAUAGUUCUCUGGACUAACUCAGGCAUCAACUGGGGUACUACAAUUGGGGUACUACAAACGAGUCUGCAGCUACUGCUAGCCGAACAACAGCAACAGCAGUCCAGAAGGUGGAAGUGACACUGAGUAAUCUAGCGGACAGUCACACCCGGCAAGUCUCCAGCAGUGAGCGUGAUAACAGUCAUCACUUGGCCUGAUCAUGUGUACACAAGGACUGAUGACCCUCCAGACAUGUCCCACACUUCCAAUCAUUUUUGGAAGGAGCAACAGUGAUGGAUGACCUUGAAAAUCUUCUGCAUGCCAUGUGCCUACUCUUUGGACUUAUUUACACUCUGAAUUUGAGUACCCUCAACAACUGAAGAACACAUUUGACUUUAGAGUGCUUCUCUCACUUAGACAAACAUCCCUAAAAACAAAAAUACAAUCACUCAAAACUCUUCUGAUGCAGAGUGAAUGUCUUCACAAUGUGAAUGGGAUGUGACAUCCUUCUAUCUCCAAUGGGACUCUUUACUUGUAUUGGAAAAGUGAUGUUUUUUUCAUCCUUUGGUCCAACUGACUGAGUUUGUUUUUCUGUAGUUUGUUACGCACCAUAGUCAGUGGAGAUGUUAAGAACAUUAGAGGGAUGAUAACCAUUUUUCAUCAGUGUGAUGAAAGCCAUUUUGAUUUUCUAAAAGUUGAGGAAGUUCAUGCCAAGAUUAAGAUAUACUGUGAGUAACAUAUGUUGUUUUUCUGUAAUUAAUAGCUUAGUUGGCAGAGGUGUCAGUUCAUUCAGGAUUUGUAUACAAAAACCUGACAAAAACCCAAAAGAAAGUUAUUGUCUUGUGUAUGUAAAGGGAAAAAGCUUUUCCAUUUAUACUGUUACACAAUAUUGUUAAAAAAAAAUCUUAAGACUAACAAUAGUGUAUGUUCAUCAUUCUUGAAGUAGUCUGCAACCCAACAAAAUGCAUUUUUAAGACUAACAGUUCAGAUCUUUUGCACUAUAAUUUGAUAAUUUAAUUUGGCAGCAUGUCAAACAUUUUGAGUACCAAGUUUGAAGUUUGAUAACAUGCCUGAAAAGAGAACCAAAACUGAAAAAGAAACUUGUUUUUCUUGUCUUACAGAACAAAUAAACUCUUUCAGUUUUCCCUUCAAA